rnacentral:tRNA from 1 species
GCAGGUGUGAUCUAGCCUGGUUAGGAUUUGGGCCUUCCAAGCCUACUGCUCGGGUUCAAAUCCCGACACCUGCA